UCCCUGAUGGUCCAGUGGGUAAGUACCUGCCUUGCAAUGCAGGGGAUGCAGGUUCAAUCCCUGGUCAGGGAA
rfam:TPA: Bos taurus chromosome 16, whole genome shotgun sequence.